rnacentral:misc_RNA from 1 species
GGAGACGUUCAAGAUGCCAGAUUGCUCAUUAACCUUAUCAAUGAGAAGCUUCAGUAGUGGGACGUUUGAAAGGGUUUUGCAUGAGCCCACCAGUAUCAAUUUUUUCUUAGCACGUGUAAGUGCUACAUUAAUCCUAUGCCAGUCACCAAGCAGUGAGGAACUAUAAUUUCUAGGAUUUUCACUAGACCUAACAAAGGAUACCAAUAUGCAGUCCUUGUC